rnacentral:tRNA from 1 species
GGCAUUAUGGCCGAGUGGUUAAGGCGAUUGACUCGAAUGAUAUCUUCGAGGUUAUCAAUUGGGAUUUCCCGCGCAGGUUCAAAUCCUGCUGAUGUCG